UAUCCGCGAGGUUUUUAGUCGCACUACUGGCAAAUACUGUUAUUUUGCAUCAAGAACCAUUGUGUGAAAGUUUGUUACCUGCGGACGUAUGUUGAGGAUUGACUCGGGUUACGGAUGAUGACGAAGACCUUGGAAAGUUGUUCCAAACAAUAAUCAAGUAAUAAAUAUUUUGGUUUGGAAAAUGAUAAUUGAUAAGUCUAAUGACCGUAGCCGACAACAAUGUUGUGCAAAAAUGUUGCGUCUUUGCCGAAAUAUUGAUUUUAUGUUAAAUAUGAGUUUAAACUAUUUUUAGGAAGCCUUGAGUUAAGUUUAAACUUUCUUUUAAAUCGUAUUUUAAAAUCGAUAAAUCACAUCCAUAAUUUUAUUAUUUCGAAUCGAGUUCAAGUAUAUCCAGUUGACGUAUUUAAAGAGUAUGAUAUGAGAAUGAACCAGUUUUGUUUAAUCCAUUGAUCAAGAAAGUGACCACUAUGAAUUUAAAAGUUUUUCUUUAUUUUAUUUUUUUCGUGCUAAUGGUCGGUGGAACUCAAUCAAUUUUAAGAAGUAGACGCGGAUUGCAUUUACAUUUUGGCUCCUCUAAACACCAUGUUGUCCACCACGUUCAUAGUACUCCUGUUGUACACACCUAUCAUGAUCCUGUACCAGUUAUACACACCACUUACCAUCAUGUAGCACCAGUCGCUGUACAUCACCACUACUUAAUUUAAAUUUAUUUAUUAUUUAUUUAUUUCAACUGCUAUAGUAUGCUAUAAUAAAGUUUUAAAGCAA